rnacentral:rRNA from 1 species
AUACGUAGGGUGCAAGCGUUAAUCGGAAUUACUGGGCGUAAAGCGUGCGCAGGCGGUUUUGUAAGACAGUGGUGAAAUCCCCGGGCUCAACCUGGGAACUGCCAUUGUGACUGCAAGGCUGGAGUGCGGCAGAGGGGGAUGGAAUUCCGCGUGUAGCAGUGAAAUGCGUAGAUAUGCGGAGGAACACCGAUGGCGAAGGCAAUCCCCUGGGCCUGCACUGACGCUCGUGCACGAAAGCGUGGGGAGCAAACAGGAUUAGAUACCCUGGUAGUCCACGCCCUAAACGAUGUCAACUGGUUGUUGGGGAUUUAUUUUCUCAGUAACGAAGCUAACGCGUGAAGUUGACCGCCUGGGGAGUACGGCCGCAAGGUUAAAACUCAAAGGAAUUGACGGGG